GGGCACGAAUAAGGCAUUGACAAGGAGAUUAAUUGCUCAGGAUGCAGGCCGAGUUUCCUAGGCACUCGUUAACGAACUAGGGGCACCAAAAAUGCCAACAUAUUUUCCCCGCAAAGGGAACUUGCCUACGCAUAAAAGCGCUUAGGCCAUCUGACUCAGGGACUCUCGAUAACUGAGCCGGGUGUCAACACAUCGAGAUCUAGGGUAGCUUCUGAAAUAAGCCCAGGAAACUACCUAAAACAGCAGGGCUAAAAGGAGAAGAUUUUGCCCAGUUCACGACUUCUCUUGUUUCUCAAAACUGGGAUAUGCCUGUAGAGUUCGGAGUGAUUACUUCUUGGACGUGGGGUCGGGACCCGCCGUGUCCACAA
rnacentral:tmRNA from 2 species